CUCCCGAAAUCGGAUCUCAGGAGGGAAUUUCUUUUGA
rnacentral:lncRNA from 1 species